GUUUUUUUCUCAUCCAAGAAUCUAAGAAGAGUCCAUAAAGAAGGCUGACAACAAAUGAAUGGAGAAAACACAAGCCCCAAAGCCUGCAGCACAGCCAGGGACCCUCUGUGAGCUGAGUCUGUGAGUUAGGGACCAGCUCUCUUCUCCAUGAAGCCUGCCCUGAUUCUCCCCAGAGGGAAGGCUGGCCCCCUUUUCCAAACUCCCACUACAUUUUGUCCAAACGAUGUUGGAAGCCACUGGGACUCCCCAAGAACAAUAUCCAAGUUGAAGACACCUUUUGCCACCCCCGCCAGUGGACAUGGAAGGAGUGCCGCACACACCCGCCCUGAAUGCAGAAGCAGCAGCUGAGGAAACACAGGCCCAGAUGGAAAGUGGCUUGCCCAAUCCCACACAGCAAGGCAGAGAUGGAUCCAUCCAGCUCUCUCCUCCCAGCCAGGGCUUAGCGACAACACAGCUACAGGGGCAUGAGAGGCUCAGAGGCCUGGUCCUCUGGCUGGUGGAGCCUUGGAGGCAGUAGUGAAGAUCCCUGGAAGAGGGAGGCCAUGAAGAGGGAUGCAGAUACCUGGCAAGCCCACCUCCCUUCUAUGCCACCUGCCAGCCUUCUCUGACAUUCCCAAACCAGGGACCAACACCGCCAAUCAGGGAAGAUUUACACGCAUUUAAUUAUCCUGCACUGCUCAGAUGUCAGUCUCUAAAUUCCUAACACAAAUGAACAGAAGACAAAAUCAUUUGCAGGAUUCUGAAAUGAAGUUUUUCAGCGGAACACAGAGAAACAGUUAAAUUUUGCAAAGCUGUGAAACUGGAGAGGGGGCUGUCCUCCAAAUCUACCAACCAGAGACCUGGAAGGAAUUACUUGCAUGAGAUUCAUUUCUCUCUGUCUUUCUCUUUCUCCCCUCUCCCCACCUAUCUGCACCAAACUCACCUGCCAAUUUCAUCAGCGAUACUUGAAUGGAUUUUCUAACCUGUUCCACUCCAAAUUGAUCAGUUAAUUAAGUUGAUCUCUACAAGACUGUUAAAGAACCAGGUCUUUUUCCUUUCAUGUUAUGCAGUUCCAAGUAAACUCCCUUUACUCUGGUAUCCUUAUCAGAGGCAGACAUCACAGGAAGUGGAGCAUUCCUUAUGAAUAUCUUAAUCUACACACAAAUAGAUUUUUUUCAAUGUGAAUUUGGAUUUCUAAAAGCACGCUUACUGCAAGUACAUUUUGCAGCCUCUUGUUUCCAGAUCAGAAUUGAGUGAUUUUCUAUUAUUUAUUUAUUUAUUAUUUGUCACUUUAAAAUAUGCAAUUCUUGGGAUCAUGCAGAAUUGCUGUAUAUUUGCUUUGAAGAUUAGAAUAAAAC
rnacentral:lncRNA from 1 species